AUGGAAAACCACAACACAGUACGCAAAGAGGCAUCCGUUUUCUUCCAUUUAGUGAGUUUGACGGCUGCAACGUCACUCAAUAGGGUGGUUAGUGGAGAUGCAUGGGAAAGCUUUGAUGGUGUUGUUGGAACUCUUGAGGUUUCAUCAUUGUCUCUUGACAAACCGAACUUGAAAGCUGCUCUAUUUACCAAUGAUGGUGAAGGAGGAGACGGCAUUGAUGCUAUUCCAAUAUCUUAG